GAUGAACGCUGGCGGCGUGCCUAAUACAUGCAAGUCGAGCGAACAGACGAGGAGCUUGCUCCUCUGACGCUAGCGGCGGAUGGGUGAGUAACACGUGGAUAACCUACCUAUAAGACUGGGAUAACUUCGGGAAACCGGAGCUAAUACCGGAUAAUAUAUUGAACCGCAUGGUUCAAUAGAGAAAGACGGUUUUGCUGUCACUUAUAGAUGGAUCCGCGCCGCAUUAGCUAGUUGGUACGGUAACGGCUUACCAAGGCGACGAUGCGUAGCUGACCUGAGAGGAUGAUCGGCCACACUGGAACUGAGACACGGUCCAGACUCCUACGGGAGGCAGCAGUAGGGAAUCUUCCGCAAUGGGCGAAAGCCUGACGGAGCAACGCCGCGUGUGUGAUGAAGGUCUUCGGAUCGUAAAACUCUGUUAUUUGGGAAGAACAAAUGUGUAAGUAACUAUGCACGUCUUGACGGUACCUAAUCAGAAAGCCACGGCUAACUACGUG
rnacentral:rRNA from 1 species